GACGAACGCUGGCGGCGUGCUUCAUACAUGCAAGUCGAACGAGAAGCUGACUUCGGUCAGUGGAAAGUGGCGGACGGGUGAGUAAUAUGUAGGAAAUCUGCCUUUAGGAGGGGGACAACAGAGGGAAACUUCUGCUAAUACCCCAUAUGAGCGUAGCUGAAAUGCUAUUCUUGAAAACUCCGGUGCCUAAAGAUGAGCCUGCAUCUGAUUAGCUAGUUGGUAGUGUAAUGGACUACCAAGGCGACGAUCAGUAGCUGGUUUGAGAGGAUGAUCAGCCACAAUGGGACUGAGACACGGCCCAUACUCCUACGGGAGGCAGCAGUAGGGAAGUUUGAGCAAUGGGCGAAAGCCUGACGAAGCAACGCCGCGUGAACGAUUAAGCCCUUCGGGGUGUAAAGUUCUGUCAGUGGGGACGAAACUUGACGGUACCCACAGAGGAAGCACCGGCUAACUCCGUG
rnacentral:rRNA from 1 species